rnacentral:rRNA from 1 species
AUGGCCGCGCCGCCGGCUAGGGCCCGCGCCGACUACGACUACCUCAUCAAGCUCCUCCUCAUCGGCGACAGCGGUGAUUCUCCCUGUCCUCCUGCUAGAUCUCUCUCCCGGCCUGCCGCGGGCUUCUGUACGCGAGUGCGCAAUGGUGUUGGCAAGAGUUGCCUCCUCCUACGGUUCUCUGAUGGCUCCUUCACUACUAGUUUUAUUACUACAAUAGGUAUUGACUUCAAGAUAAGAACAAUUGAACUGGAUGGCAAGCGCAUUAAGUUGCAAAUUUGGGAUACAGCCGGUCAAGAGCGAUUCAGGACUAUCACGACAGCAUACUACCGGGGAGCCAUGGGAAUCUUGCUUGUUUAUGACGUCACGGACGAGUCAUCUUUCAACAACAUACGGAACUGGAUACGCAACAUUGAGCAACAUGCCUCUGAUAAUGUGAACAAAAUUUUGAUAGGCAACAAGGCUGAUAUGGAUGAGAGUAAAAGGGCUGUUUCUACUGCAAAGGGACAAGCACUAGCCGAUGAAUAUGGCAUCCAGUUCUUUGAAACUAGUGCCAAGACAAACCUCAAUGUGGAGCAAGUUUUCUUUUCCAUUGCCCGAGAUAUUAAGCAGAGGCUUGCUGAGACUGAUUCCAAGCCCGAGGACCGGACGAUCAAGAUUAACAAGACAGAAGGUUCUGAGAAUCCAGAAUCUCAGAAAUCUGCCUGCUGUGGCUCAUGA